rnacentral:tRNA from 1 species
GUCAGGAUGGCCGAGUGGUCUAAGGCGCCAGACUCAAGUUCUGGUCCUCUAACAAGGGCGUGGGUUCAAAUCCCACUUCUGACA